rnacentral:lncRNA from 10 species
CUGGUGAGACAGCAUGGGAAGAAAUAACACAUGGGCUUUUGUGCAGCUGGAUAUAAUGAAGGUAAAUUGGGUGGAAUUCAAAGAUUUGCCAGAAAAAAGAGAGAUGAUUUCACUCUAAAAUCAUUUUGCAAGAUAAUAUUUUACAAGGAACCUUUUGGACAUGCAUUAUAAGCGGUUACAUUCCCAUUGUCCUAAAAAACUCCCUGCAUAGUUGUACUCUAUUUUUAUCAAGCCAUGCUCUGACGCCUCCUGCCUGGUUGGCGAUAAUCCCUAAUGCAAAGGGAUCGUGUGAAGGUAACCAACCCCUGCCUACAUUUUACUCUGGAUUCCAAGAGUAGACUGGGCUUCAGGGACCAGAUGCCAGGGCUGGCACAUCUGCCUAAAACCCAUAAUUCUUGAACUUGACGUGCUCAGCCUCUCCAAAGCCGCGGCGCUGACACAGCUCCCCCUGCACGAGUGUACAGCAGUCAGACAGGAACGGGGAGAGGGGGCUCAACUUUCUGACGGCCACUUAGAGGCUGCCUGACCACAAAGACAGGACUGUAAAACAUAGACCGCAUGUGACCUGCUGGUGCUCGGCACUGACCCAGGGGAGGAGGGCCACUUGGGCUGGAAUGCAGUUGCUGGGGGCUCAUGAGGGGCUCAGUGGUGCCCCUGGCCACCGAGUCAAGCAGCGUAGAUUGAUCAGAGGAGCUGAGAGCUGAGGCCCACCCUCCCCUUUCUCCUACACAUGGACACCUCUGAGUGGAAUAAGGGAAGACUGUCCUUUCUCCAAGCUUGAAGGAAGAUGACUGUGACUCUUUUCCUGGACUUCAAGGCAUCGAAGUGUCAGCUGGCUGCCAUCCCAGCGUCUGACAGGGCAGCAGGAGAAAGAGGCCACCUGUAUCAUCCACCCGUGCUGCAGCUGAAUGGGAUCGGUGCAGCAUGAUAGAGGCCAGCUGCCCCGCACCAGGUCUGCGUGUCACAGGGCAGAGUGCAUGGUCUCCCUUCACGUGCGGGGCCAGGUGACUGCACAGAGUGAUGAGCUGGGCCCACUUUCCUGCUAUUGGCCGCCAGCAAAGAAUACAAGGGGUUUCCCUUCCCUUCCCUUCCCUUCCCUUCCCUUCCCUUCCCUAUCGACAGCCUUGCAGGGUGGUGGUUUCCUUUGCCCGGAGAGUUCAGAGGCCUUAGUUCUGGAAAGCCUCCUGUGGGGAGAUGGAGUGGCGGGGAUAGGGACCAGAGCAGAGAGGGCAGCAGCAUAAACAAAGAGGAGAGGCAAACUGUUUGAGCCCAGGAGUUUGAGACCAGCCUGGGCAACAUGGUGAAACCCUGUCUCUAUAAAAAAUAUAAAACUUAGCUGGGUGUGGUGGCACAUGCCUAUGGUCCCAGGUAUCUGGAGCAUGGGGUGGUGGUGGGGUGGUGGGAGGAUCAUCUGAGCCUGGGGAGGUCGAGGCCACAGUAAGCUAGGAUUGUAUCACUGCACUCCAGCCUUGGCAACAGAGAGAGAUCUUAUCUCAGAACAAAACAAAAAAAUUGGAGAAGGGAUUUCUCUGAUUUCUCCCUUUGGGAAGGGAGGCUUGGAGGCUGCCUGGGGCUGAGCAGGGAGCACCAUGCUUGUAGGCCUUUGGGGAGGUUUCGAGGUCCAAGUGUGACUUAGAGGAACUGGGAGAUGCCAGCAGACACUGAGACCCAAAGGGGCCUGGCUUGGGACCUAUGCAGCUGUGGGAGGGGAAAGGCCCUCCCCGCUACCAGAUGCAGACUCUGGUGCCCUGAAGCCUGGCGUCUGAGCCAGAUCUGACUUUGUGUAGAAGCAUAAAAGGAGUAGGAUGUUUGUGAUGGCUGAGCGUCAUGGAGGAAUUCAUACCUGUUCCUGGAGCAAUCUAUUUUUAACCUUGUUAACCUGAACUGUACUUUAAGAUUGAAACUAAAUGCAGCCUCUUUUCUACCCAUGAUUUAUUAGACCUCCCCUUUCUAUCAAAUUAAAGCUCUGCACAAACGAAACAAUUCAUCCUCAUCUAAUUUAUAACCAUCCUCCCACACUAGGAAUAUGGAGCCAGGAAUGAGGGAGGUUCACGUGGGAGGUGGCAACUGCAGAACAGACAGCUCUUUGGAUUUCUUUAAAUUGCCAUUUAAUUCCAUCCAUCAACCCAUUUUUCUGCUGUAUACAUAGAAAAGGACAACAGCCACUCCCUCAACCAAAUAUCCCUACAUUCAGUUAAAAGCUACUCUGUACCCCAGGACAUGGGAGCAGCUCCUAUCCUUCCCAGGUGAAAAAGUGGGCUUUUUUUCCCCCUUAAGGCUAAAUAGGAUUUCUUUUCUGUUAGCUAUGGGUAGGUGACUUCUUAAUGAUCUUUAAGGAAAGAAGUCAAUACAAGGAAAAUAUCCUUUUUUAAUCCCAUUUUCCUUCUCACCCCACACUGAGCGUUACUAUAGCAACAUCUUUCCUGCUACUAGGACAGUUAAGUCCCCCUGUGAAGUUAACCGAAAGCUGCUUUUUCACUCAGAGAAUGGGCUGCUGUUCAUUGACCAGCUUUUCCUGCGUGUCUAAAUUCUUCGGUUCUCUCUGACAUGCUCAAUCUAGGGUUUCCCGCGGCUAAACCCUAAAAUUCACUUCGAAACUCCUAACAGCAGAAUUCCCCAAACCUUUUCAGAACUGAACUCAUUAGAAAUGAAUUUACAUUUUGAUUUAGUUAUAAAUAACUUUUCUUCUGUGUAUUGGUUUAAGUUUAGAAAAGGCCCCCUGUAAAGAAGACAAGUUGGAGAAUAAUCUCCCAUAUUCCUCUGCCAUCCUUUCUUUCCUUCCUUUCCUUGAGAUGGAGUCUCUCUCUGUCGCCCAGGCUGGAGUGCAGUGGAGUGAUCUCAGCUCACUGCAACCUCCGCCUCCCGGGUUCAAGCGAUGCUCCUGCCUCAGCCUCCCGAGUAGCUGGGACUACAGGCAUGCACCACCAUGCCUGGCUAAUUUUUUGUAUUUUUAGUAGACACAGCGUUUCACCGUGUAAGCUAGGAUGGUCUCGAUCUCCUGACCUCAUGAUCAGCCCGCCUCGGCCUCCCAAUGUGCUGGGAUUACAGGUAUGAGCCACCGUGGCUGGCCUCCUUUUUCUUUUAAACACAUACAUACAUAUAUGUAAAAACAAAAGAAAAUUUCAGGACCUUCCAAAUUUCACAGGCCUAGAGGAAAGUUAAGCCCUGGAAAUGGAGUUGUGAGAGCAGGCUGUUUUUUCUCUCUGGUGCGUGACCACUGCUUCCUGAUUUUUGUGUUGAGAUCUUAGACCUUAACCAGACUUAUAGCCUUCAUUCAAACCAGACUGAAUGAUGUGGGAGGUAGGGACCUUGGUCAUUGUUAUCUCUUUAUAAUAAAAUGCUAAGCAACCCCCUUAGAGUGAAGUCAACAGUAGCCAAUCAAAU